AGCUCAGUCAGUUAGAGCGCAGUGCUGAUAACACCAAGGUCGCAGGUUCGAUCCCUGU
rnacentral:tRNA from 1 species